UCCGAUGAUGGCAUGAUAUCUUUGAGACCUGAUAUUUUCAUAUUUUGAUGACAACUAUAAGCAUUUACGCUGAGGAUCCUUUACAAAUUAAAUUUGUUCAGCUUUUUUUUUUUUUUUUUUGUGGAAUUCGAGAUGAUGUUUGCACUGGGCUCUGAGAGCAGUUGAUUAAUUGCUUGAUUUGAUGCAUAAUGCAGCCUAGAAAGCUAGUCUGAUCG
rnacentral:lncRNA from 1 species